AAGGGGAAGACUCACAUAGAGGCAGCAGUAGAGAAUCUUGUGCAAUAAACGAAAGUAUGACACAGAGAGGACACAUUUAAUUGAGCCCGUCAAAUUAAGUGCCAGCCGACGCGGUUAAACUUAAGGGCUGGUCUUUAUAAGUAAAAAGGCGUAAAGGAUGUGUAGGCCAAGAAACGAUCUAAGUAAGUAAAUGGAAUUUUUCUGGAGCGGUAGAAUGUGAGGAUAGAAAAUAGAACCCCUAAGGUAAAAACUAUUUACUACAAGGUAGGCUGAAACAUGAGAGUGUGGGGAGCAAACAGGAUUAGAGACCCUGGUAGUCCACAUUGUGAACUUUGAAGAUGAUGCUUAGCAGACCCGAAAGGUAAAAUCUUCCGCCUGAGUAGUACGAUCGCAAGAUUAAAAUUCAAAAACUUUGGCUGUUCACUAUUUCGAUUAGAGGAGCGUGUAGUUUAAUUCGAUGGUCCGCGUGUUACCUUACCCCAACUUGAAUCUGUGACCGGUAUUGCAUGGCCGUCGUAAGUUCGUGUAUUAAGCUAGAAGGGACCCAACCCGGGCAUUUGCCCGGAGGAAGUCAGGUCUUAUGAUCCGAAUGUUGGGGGAUUUUAUGCGCUACAUUUUCUUAUAUAAUGAGAAACCUGGAAGGUGAAUCUCUAAAGUAAGAGUUCGGAAGGUCGCUGUAAGACGACUGGAAGAUGGAUUUAAUAGUAAUCGGAAAGUAGGGCGUUCCGGUGAAUUGGUACAAGUGUUAGCACAAAUUGCCCGUCACCUUUACUUAGAAUGGUUAUUCUGAUGUCUUCGGUGAUUAUGAAUGCCUACGAGGUA
rnacentral:rRNA from 1 species